rnacentral:rRNA from 1 species
CCUACGGGUGGCUGCAGUGGGGAAUAUUGCACAAUGGGGGAAACCCUGAUGCAGCGACGCCGCGUGAGUGAAGAAGUAAUUCGUUAUGUAAAGCUCUAUUAGCAGGGAAGAAAAUGACGGUACCUGAGUAAAAAGCCGCGGCUAACUCCGUGCCAGCAGCCGCGGUAAUACGUAGGGGGAAAGCGUUAUCCGGAUUUACUGGGUGUAGAGGGAGCGUAGACGGCAGUGCAAGUCUGGCGUGAAUGGCGGGGGCUCAACCCCCGGACUGCACUGGAAACUGUACGGCUGGAGUGCAGGAGAGGUAAGUGGAAUUCCUGGUGUAGCGGUGAAAUGCGUAGAUAUUAGGAGGAACACCAGUGGCGAAGGCGGCUUACUGGACUGUAACUGACGUUGAGGCUCGAAAGCGUGGGGAGCAAACAGGAUUAGAUACCCGUGUAGUC